GACGAACCGUGCGAACGUUGUUCGGAUUCACUGGGCUUAAAGGGCGCGUAGGCGGGCCAUCAAGUCGGGGGUGAAAUCUUUCAGCUUAACUGGAAAAUAGCCUUCGAUACUGGUGGUCUGGAGGAAGGUAGGGGCAUGUGGAACUUCCGGUGGAGCGGUGAAAUGCGUAGAUAUCGGAAGGAACGCCGGUGGCGAAAGCGACGUGCUGGACCUUUCUGACGCUGAGGCGCGAAAGCCAGGGAGCAAAGCGGG
rnacentral:rRNA from 1 species